UACAGAGGGGGCAAGCGUUGUUCGGAAUUACUGGGCGUAAAGGGCGCGUAGGCGGCCUGCUAAGUCGAACGUGAAAUCCCUGGGCUCAACCCAGGAACUGCGUCCGAUACUGGUUGGCUUGAAUCUGGGAGAGGGAUGUGGAAUUCCAGGUGUAGCGGUGAAAUGCGUAGAUAUCUGGAGGAACACCGGUGGCGAAGGCGACAUCCUGGACCGGUAUUGACGCUGAGGCGCGAAAGCCAGGGGAGCAAACGGG
rnacentral:rRNA from 1 species